UACGAAGGGGGCUAGCGUUGCUCGGAAUCACUGGGCGUAAAGGGUGCGUAGGCGGGUCUUUAAGUCAGGGGUGAAAUCCUGGAGCUCAACUCCAGAACUGCCUUUGAUACUGAGGAUCUUGAGUUCGGGAGGGGUGAGUGGAACUGCGAGUGUAGAGGUGAAAUUCGUAGAUAUUCGCAAGAACACCAGUGGCGAAGGCGGCUCAAUGGCCCGAUACUGACGCUGAGGCACGAAAGCGUGGGGAGCAAACAGG
rnacentral:rRNA from 1 species